AUUAAUUACAAGCCACAUAAGCAAAUUUUUUUUGAAAUGCGCUAUGUUACUAUCUAAGUUACUCCCACUAUGACUAGCCUUAGUGGGGUCCUCCUGCUGGCGGUAUUACAACUGGUAGAGCAGCUUAUGGCAAUAAAUCCUCUAUCCCGGGCCAGAGGGAUGCUCCUCCUGCCCACACUACCGCUGGUAUCGGAGGAGGGUCAUGGGGAAAGAGCAAUGAAGAUAGCUGGAAUUCGCCAAAAGGAACCAGGGCUCAGAAGGUGUUUCAAAGAACGAAGGAUCCUGGGACAAGGCCGAAGGGAGCAGGAGCCAAGGCGGUGGUGGAUGGGACAACAACAUGGGCGGGGAUGCCAACAACGGUGGUGGCAGUGGGUGCUAAGCUUGUUCCAGAAUCAGCUGUGCCUGAUUUUGGCGUGUAGAUAAGGUUUAGCGCGAUGCACCUCUCAGCGCUCUAGCACCCUGUGCUGGUUGGUUCCAUUGGCCAUGCUACCUGAACCUUUAGAAGAACAUGGCCUAGCUGGGCAAAACGUCCCCUCAUGCUGGCAGUAAUAUACUAGUAGUGCCAGCAGAACAUUUCGUGGUACCUGCAGUAACUUAUAAGUACCUUAAAUCCUAUCGUGUCUGAGAUUUCCA